rnacentral:rRNA from 1 species
GGGGUCAGUAGGUUGGUCGUGCCACCGGUACGUACUGGUCUCACUGAUUCCUCCUUCCUGAAGAACCGUAAUGCCAUUAAUUUGGUGUUGCGGGGAAACAGGACUGUUACUUUGAAAAAAUUAGUGUGUUUAGAGCAAGCUAACGCUUGAAUACAUUAGCAUGGAAUAAUGAAAUAGGACGAUCGAUCCUAUUUUGUUGGUUUCUAGGAUUGACGUA